UACGUAGGGUGCGAGCGUUGUCCGGAAUUAUUGGGCGUAAAGGGCUCGUAGGCGGUUUGUCGCGUCGGGAGUGAAAACCCAGGGCUUAACCCUGGGCUGGCUUUCGAUACGGGCAGACUAGAGGUAUGCAGGGGAGAACGGAAUUCCUGGUGUAGCGGUGAAAUGCGCAGAUAUCAGGAGGAACACCGGUGGCGAAGGCGACUACCUGGCCUGUUCUUGACGCUGAGGCGCGAAAGCUAGGGGAGCAAACGGG
rnacentral:rRNA from 1 species